ensembl:lncRNA
AAUCCACCACUUCUAGCCGGAGCUGAGCGACUUGGCUUAACUAUGCUCAGUGUCUGUCGCCUCACGGGUAAAAUGCAGAUCCCUGGGUCCCAGGGUGGUAAUGAGGAUGGGGGAUAUAAGCAAGCGGCUGCCAGUAGUUCCUCCAUUACUGGUGUUGGGUCUCGUGGGGCCCACAGCCUCUGCCACCUCCCAGGGUAUAGCAUGGGUCCUCCCUGAUCCUCAGGCUUCUCCUCAGCUCCCACAAAGAGUCGCCCACCCUCAUGGGCUGCACGCUGUUUGGUGAACUCCCAACUAGUGUUCCCAAACCUAAUAAGUGACCCCAAAGGCCACCGAAGAACCACAUUCUCUGAUCACGCAGCCCCAGGCCUUCCUCCCAGCUCAUCAAAGACAGUCUAACCUUUCGCCUCCCACCCCCACCUCCCACUGCUAGCUCAUUAUACUCCCUCCACCCAGGAACAAGGGCAAUUAAAAAGGUGGAAAAUUUAAGUGGGUCAAUAUGACUAUUUUCUAGAAGUUUAGGCAUACAAUUUGGUGAGAAAAGAAACAGAAACCAUGAGCUCACCAAAGGUGGGCAAAGACCGUCUUCUAUGGAGUUGCCAAAACCUAUUUGAAAGAAAAACCUCCCACUGGGGCCUCCUGUAACCAAUUCCAUAAAUACAAAUUUACCAACCUCAGGAAAGACUUUUUUCCUUGUCUGCACAGUAUCUCUUCUCUACUCCGUGAACCUCCAGGGUCCCCUCUCCCAGGGCAACAUCCCUUGCCCUUCACGAAAUAAUUACAUCAAGCUUUCUAAUAGGUUGACAGAUAGCACCAUGUCAUCUCUACCUUUCAGCUUCCCUGCGGAAAUCCUCCUGUUUGAUCUGCAGAUCUGUGUAACGGAGGAGGAGAGAGGGAGGAAAAAAGCGAGAGCGGCUCUAUUCUGAUAUAUACGUACUUUUCCAGGCAUGCCCCCUGCCCUGUUGGGCAUAAUUGCCUGUUUAAUUACCUGUAUUCCCGGUGGCCUGAAAAUUCUGGGAGGACAGGGGCAAUGUUGAUCCUUACAUCCCCACACAUAGAACAGCUACCAGGAAGAGCAAGUCUCUGAUAAAUGUUUGCUGAAGGCCUGAGGAGAAGAGAGAGAGCAGCUGGGGAGAGAGAGUCUUACGUACAUACACCCCUCCUCAUCUCCAAGGGCCAGCUUCUCUCCGUCGAGCAAAUCCCUGGACAUUUUCUCUUGGCCUCAGAGGUCUUUUUAGAGUUCUUGGCCUUUCUUCUUAUGGGGGCCACAUGGAGGACAAGUUGGCAUAGAGUCUGCCACCUGGGGUUGGGGGGCUGGCCGUGCCUCUUCACCCACAUGGAUGUCUCCCACUUGCCCUCCCCUGGGGGCGCCGCAGAGUGAAGAUUGUUCUGUACCAGGCGGAGUCCUGGGUCUUUCACAACCAAUGUCUAUGGAACACGCCACCCCAAACCUGUAGAGGACACAUUCUUUUCAAGUUCACAUGCAUCGUUCCCCAAGACAGGCCAUAUGUUGAACCACGAGAUCACUCUCAAUACAUUUCAAAGGAGCGAAAUCACACAGAACAUGUUCUCUGAGGACGAUGGAAAUAAAUUAGAAGAGUAGAUACGUUCAAAAUCCCAAAUAUCUGAAGAAACUCUCUCAGUGCUUGACACAGUGUAGAUCCUCAACAAUUUCUGCCUCGACAUCCUUCUCUACCACAGUUACGAUCCCUCUGCUGCUGCUGAAAGUAAAGGCCGACCACCGGCCAAGGUUACGGCCACAGUCCCAGGCCUGGCACUUACUGCCCUGUCUGCACAGUGAGCUGGGACAAUGAGUCCACCUCGGAGCCCACCCUGAGUCCCUCAGCAUUCACCAGAUCCACACUGAGGCAGGAAGAUCUCCGCUAUGCUGCCAGAAUGGGGUCCCAGCCCACUCUCCACUCCAAGGAGCCCAGCCUUCUCGAGAUGUGGGGAGAGAGCUCAAUGGGGUGAUGGCUCUUGAUCUUUUUACUUAGAAUGUUCUCUGGCAGAUAAAAUCAAAUUCAUUUUGUUUAGGGAGUUUAGCCGAAACCCCUUGAGGAACAAAUGAAGGCAGCACACAGAAAUGCCUCCUUUCCUCUGCCUGCCAUUUUAGAGGGUCCCCAAGAGGCCAGGAAUACAGUCAACCAGAGAGAAACCCAACCAGCCAAGUCAUACGAGGGAGACGGAGACUGCCAUUGUCACAACCUUUGGACUAAAGAAUGAAGUGGAAACUGAAUUUCACUGAAGGCUGUGCUUGAGCUUUUCAAGGCCAAUAGUCUGAUCCAUGUGUUUGGUUCACAAUAUAAAUGGACAAUUGUGGUGCUGAUAAGUCACCACCCGGAAGAGCCCAAGGGUGGAAGUACCUGUUAUUGGCACAUGCUGUGUGUAAACCUUCUACUGAGACUAAGCUGGUUGCAGCAUCAUUUUCCUUCAAAUCAGGGUAAAGAUCUCCUAGAUAAGAAUGAGUUGGAAAUUAAGACCCAAAUUAAAGCACAUCUAAAGAGGUUGGUACGUGACAAAACCUCCUCAGAAUGCAGUCCAUGGAAGGUUUCCGCCGGGAUCCUGUCAAGAGAGGCGAGUUUUAAAAGGUCUAUGAAUCCUCUAGCUAGGGGAGAAAAGACAAGAGGCAGCAAAGACAGACAGCUAACAAGAAUAGCAUCACCUCCACCUCCACCACCAUUUCUUGGGAGGAGACAUCAUGGAAGCCACUGUUUUCAGUACUUCGGUCAAGCUGAUUCAUUUCUUAAAGUUUCCGGAUUAUGAAUGAAAAUGGUAUCGAUCACCUGGAUGAGGAUCAAAUACAGGGAGAGACAGCGCGACAGUCGAGACUGGCUCUGCAUUUACUUGCAACAAUGCCAACUAGAUUUCCAGCAUUUUAUUGAGACGAG